CUGGCUCAGCUUGAACGCUGGCGGCAUGGCUAAAACAUGCAAGUCGAACGCGAAAUCGGCUUCGGCCGAGAGUAGAGUGGCGAACGGGCGAGUAAUACCUUCCUAACGUGCCUCAAGGUCAGGGAUAGCUCGGGGAAACCUGUGGUAAUACCUGAUAUUCCCGCGUGAUCGCAUGGUCGUGCGGGCAAAGGCUUGUCUGCCUUGAGAUCGGGGAAGGCGCUAUCAGCUUGUUGGUGGGGUAACGGCCUACCAAGGCGGAGACGGCUAGCGGGUGUGAGAGCAUGACCCGCCGCAUCGGGACUGAGACACUGCCCGGACUCCUACGGGAGGCUGCAGUAACGAAUCUUCCGCAAUGGGCGCAAGCCUGACGGAGCAAUGCCGCGUGCAGGAUGAAGCCCCUCGGGGUGUAAACUGCUGUCAGGGGCUACCAAGUUCUGAGGAGCCCCGGAGGAAGGGCCGGCUAACUUCGUGCCAGCAGCCGCGGUAAUACGAAGGGCCCGAGCGUUAAGCGGAAUCACUGGGCUUAAAGGGUGCGUAGGCGGACACGUCAGUGCUUUGUGAAAUCCCACAGCUCAACUGUGGACGUGCUUGGCAUACUGCGUGUCUUGAGGUCGGUAGAGGUUGCCGGAACUGUAGGUGUAGCGGUGAAAUGCGUAGAUAUCUACAGGAACACCCAUGGCGAAGGCAGGCAACUGGACCGAUUCUGACGCUGAGGCACGAAAGCGUGGGGAGCAAACAGGAUUAGAUACCCUGGUAGUCCACGCUGUAAACGAUGUGCACUAGGUCUCGGGAGUUUUGACGCUCUCGGAACCGAAAAGAAAUCGAUAAGUGCACCGCCUGGGGAGUACGGUCGCAAGGCUAAAACUCAAAGGAAUUGACGGGGGCUCACACAAGCGGUGGAGCAUGUGGCUUAAUUCGAAGCAACGCGAAGAACCUUAUCCUGGAUUUGACAUGUACGAAUUAGCCCUGUGAAAGCAGGGUGACGCGGCUUGCCGUGGAACGUACACAGGUGCUGCAUGGCUGUCGUCAGCUCGUGCUGUGAAGUGUUGGGUUAAGUCCCUUAACGAGCGAAACCCUUGCCGUUAGUUGCCAGCGGGCCUUCGGGUGCCGGGGACUCUAACGGGACUGCCGGUGUCAAACCGGAGGAAGGCGGGGAUGACGUCAAGUCCUCAUGGCCUUUAUGUCCAGGGCUGCACACGUGCUACAAUGGCGACCACAGAGCGAAGCGAGGCCGCGAGGCGGAGCAAAUCGCAAAAAAGUCGCCCCAGUUCGGAUCGCAGUCUGCAACUCGACUGCGUGAAGUUGGAAUCGCUAGUAAUCGCGUAUCAGCUACGACGCGGUGAUACGUUCCUGAGCCUUGUACACACCGCCCGUCAAGUCAUGGAAGCUGGGAGCACCCGAAGUCGUGCCGUUUCAGGCAUGCCGACGGUGAGCUCGGUGACUGGGACUAAGUCGU
rnacentral:rRNA from 1 species